UCAAACCGGUGUGAGCCCGGUUGGUUUCUAUCCUUAAUUAUAUAUAAUAUUUUAGUACGAAAGGAUUAAAUAUCAAAAAUAUUUUUUAAAAAAAAUGAAUUAAAAUAAUUA
rnacentral:rRNA from 1 species